rnacentral:rRNA from 1 species
UACGUAGGGCGCAAGCGUUAUCCGGAAUUAUUGGGCGUAAAGAGCUCGUAGGCGGUUUGCCGCGUCUGCCGUGAAAGUCCGGGGCUCAACUCCGGAUCUGCGGUGGGUACGGGCAGACUAGAGUGAUGUAGGGGAGACUGGAAUUCCUGGUGUAGCGGUGAAAUGCGCAGAUAUCAGGAGGAACACCGGUGGCGAAGGCGGGUCUCUGGGCCGAUACUGACGCUGAGGAGCGAAAGCGUGGGGAGCGAACAGG